UGGAGACGUCGGGGCAGCUCUUCAUAAUGAGUUUGACCCGGGAAAGGGGCAGUGCAGCGGGGGCUGAGGCCGGGGCCUGGGCAGGGAAGCUGGGCCGAGCCGGGAACCUCAGGCCCUCACGCCGCUUCACCGCCGCCAUCUUAGUCAGCAUACACCACUGCCGGGAGCUUGGCGAAGGGGAGUCACGGGGAGUGAGGGAGUCGGAGAGAGGCUCUUCACAAUCUAAAUCAACUCUCGUUUAUCGGUAUACAGUCAGUUCUGGAACGGAUAAAUCUGUAGAACAAAAGAACCAAUCACUGACUUCAGAAAGAAAGGAGGGGAACACUCCCAUCUACUUCAACAGACCUGAAGUUGAGAGGGUUGAGAGCAUUAAGUUCCAGGAGAAAUGAUGGCCGACAACCUGUCCUGGACUUCCCAUGUAGAUGAAAUGGUCAAGAUGGCACAACAAUGCCUCUUCUUCCUCGGGUGGCUUAGGAAAUAAGAACCCUCACCAAAUUUUACAGAUACACCAUAGAAAGUGUUCUAUCCAAGUGCUUAACAGCCUGGUUUGGCAACAGUUGUGCCCACGUAAGAAACUGCAGAAGGUUAUGUGCACAGCCUAGACCAUGACAGAAGCCAACCUUCCAUCCAUGGACUCCAUUUACACUUCUCAUUGCUGCAGAAAGGCUGCCAACAUCAUCAAAGAUUCCUCCCACCCCUGAAAUACUCUCCUACAACCCCUCUCAUCAGGCAGAAGGUACAGAAGCUUGAACAUAUGCUCCAAAAGGUUCAAGAACAGCUUCUUCCCUGCCGUUACUAGACUGCUGAAUGGACUCUCUAACUUCAAAUAAUGUUGAUUUUGUUAAUGUUGAUUUUGCUUCAUGUACUUCCGGGCAGUGUAACAUUGUAUGCCUCACUCUGUCGAAACACCCUAUGACCUGUAUGUCCUUACUUUCCAUGAUCUGCCUUCACUGCUUGCAGACAAAGCUUUUCAUUGUACUUGGGUACACAUGACUACAAUAAAUCAAAUCAACAUUC